rnacentral:lncRNA from 1 species
GCCCCAGACGGCCCGCGGCCCAGCUUUCUCACCGAGGGUGGGAAGUUCCCCAGUGACUCUGCCUGCCAAGUUAUUUGUUUCCUAGCGGGGAAAUAAUACCUGGAGUUUGGCCACCGUUGGCUGGAGUCUCACUGUUUUCUGGGAAUCACCUGAUGUCAGGAUUUGCAACCUGAGCGCCUGGUCCAGAGCAGGGAGCUCAGCCAGACCACGGACAAAGGCUCCAUUGGUCCCUGAGCUGGCGGGAGCCACUGCCUUGGCCACGUGUCCACUGAUGGGCUUUCAGGUGUCAUGUGACCAUCCUGCCUUAGAUCUUCAGAGACUUGGGCCAUGUAUGGGCGUUGUGUCCCAUCUACCACUUUGCGAGGAUAUAGCAAAAAUUACAUUUUCACUACAAAAUACCUGGACAGAUCUAGUGAAUACUAAAGAAAUCUGUCUUACCCCAAGGGAGGAAGCAGGAGUUGUGGUGCCAUGGGACGAGCACUGGGCGAGGAGUCCACCAGCCAGCCUCAGCCCUCUCUGGUGACUUGGGCCCAGGGAUUGCUGGUUACCAGGAAAAGAAGCUCCUUCAAUUUAGAUCAAAUAAAAAAAACAAGGAGCCUUAUUAUAAGUAUUCAGAGGCAGCUUCCAAGACCCAGCUGCAGGAAGUUCGGCCUCACGGCAAGUGGGAAGUCAUUGCCUCUCUCUGGCAUCCAGCGAAGCCUGUUUCCACAGCUCCCCAGACACGUGCUCAACUCUCCUUCCUGCAGAGGAUUUUUUUCUGCCAGGACUACUUUCUGCUCCUCCUCACUUUGCCUGCCCACGGCUCUGGCUCACCUUGGGUCAGGGCUCCAACUACAGUUGCCCUCCUUGCAGCUACAUAAUGGGGCUUGAGGGUGACUCGGCUGGGAUGUGAGCGAGGCCUGCUGAGGUCUGUGGGCUGCCCCCGGAGGGCCCCUAGGAUCAACCUCCAAAUAUGUGCCCUGGAAAGAUGACAAACAAAUGCACCAGCUUGAAAGGCAAAUUUGAGUUUGAAGAGGAAAAGCACAUUUUUGAGGAGCCUACUCCCUGCGUGCGUGAGGACUCUGCAGCCUGUCAAGCAGAUACUGAGUUUGGAGCUGCGCUCACUCAGCGCGAUCAACGUGCACGGUUCCCAGCGCCGCCCCGCGCCUCCCCCUCCAGGCUCGAGCUCGGCCCGGGCUUCAGGGGCACCGGGUCGGCUUGUUCUCCCCUCCGCCGCAGUGUCCCCGCGUCGUCGACGGCGUGGAGAGCUGUUCUGACAGAGCGAGAGAAGCCCCGCGGGGGUCAAGGAGGGCCGCAGCUUCUUCUCCAGCUGGGCUUUUGCAAAGAGCCUCCUAUGGGCUUUUCUUGGCGGAUCUCGCUCUUCACUGGCGUCCCGGAGGCCGCCCCCGCCUGUUUUCAAGUCUGGAGAAAUUGGGCGUGGGGGGGAGGAGCGGCGGGGUGCGGUGAUACCCUGAGUGCUCUGCCUCUGAGGAGCUGUUGCCGGUAGGGGGUGUGUGUGUGUGAGUGUGUGUACCUGCACACGUGCUCGCCCUGACUCUCCAUCUAAUCUGUCAAGGCCAACAGCACAGUAGGUGGGAACAACACGGGCUCAGGAGCAAGACUGUCAAAAGUGGAACUGACCUCCUUAGUCCUGCCUACCCUUGGACAAGUGGUUCUUUAUACUUCAAUUUCCUCAUGUAUAAAAUGAGAAUGAUGACGCCUGUCUCUACACUGUUUACGAUGUAUAUAAAGCAUUUAGCACUUGGCGCAUAAAAACAAUGAAGUUUAGCUUUCCCUGUUACACUGUCGUUUCAGAAUGAAUUUGAGAUGUUCUACAGGAAGUACACACAGCAAACAUGUAAUAAAAAAAGCUACCAGGAAAAGAAAAGUGGAAAUAAAAAUAAGGCGUGAGGACUAAGGUCAAUAUAAAUUAGAACUGGAAGGAUAGGCUGUGGUGGGAGGGGGUGGUGCAAGAGGAAAUAAACAGAAUUUUUAAAAAUGAGUAUAAGAUCAUAUAUAGUUGUUAUAAUAAUUUGUCAGUCUAGUUCUGAGCUUCCUGGCAGCCAAAUCAAAAAGGGAAGCAACUCAGACCAUGUGGUGCAACCUGAAUUGAAAAUUUAGAAUUUAGAAGGAUCUAGCUCACCUCCUUUGUUUCCUGAUAGAUCAAAUCACAAAGUUAACAACAUUGGAUUCUGGAUUAAUCAUUAUUUUCUUUUGGGGUAGGUGUGUGUGCCAUCAGUAGAUAUCUGCACAAUUAAAGUUCAGAAAUCCUCAGAGUAUUAACUAUUCUUCUGAAAGUCAACGAUCAUUUCACUUUGGUCAAGUUAUACAUGUCACCUUUAAAGGUGACUAGUUCUUCUGUGUUGUGGCCUAUUUUGCUUCCAGUCUUGAAGCAGUUUGUGAAGCAAAGUUGUUCUCCUUGACUCUCUAACUGAAGCUUCGCAGAUAAGCCCAUUCAGCCUAUUCUCACUGAAGGCAAGCAGACACCUCCCAAGACUGUUCGUGGUGUUGCACCGGCCCCUCCUGCUUGGCCCCGAGUUGUUCCUGUGAUGAUUACCCCCUCCUUGCCUUCUGAACUUGGGUCUGCUUCCCAUGGGCAGCUCUGCUCUCAGGUCCCCUUAAGUCAGCAGUGGUGUUUGGCCUCCCUGUCUCUGCUCGUGGGUCCCCUUCCGGUCUUGAAUUUGCGCCAUCUUCAUGCCUUCUCUGGUCAGUCUCAGAAGGAAAACUCUGAUAGUCAUUUGGGGACCAACCCUGGAAUGGGGUGCCACCCUCCUGGUUCACCAAGGGCAACAGGAUUAGACAGAUGGAACAUAAGACGGUGUCAGAAAUCCAUAUUGAUCCUGGGAAUAAUCCUUCUAAUAACAACUCUUUCCUACCUUCUCUUCUCCGCUUGGGGUCAGAUUUCCACUGUGGCCUGAUAGCUCUCUCCAUCUCCCCUGGCUUCCUCCCCAUUUUCGUUCACAAACAGUUCCCCUAAUAGGUUUCAUGCAAUUUAAACCCGUCUUGCUGUCUGCUCCUCAGAGGUCCUAGGCUAACAUCACAUCUGAAAGCUCGACUGGGCUGGAGUGGAAGCUGGCCCCCUCGUGGUUCUGGCGGCUGAGUCUGGCUGUUGUUCGAGACCUUGGCUAGCUCUUGAUGGGCGUACCUUUACUGACAUCUCUGUGUGACCUGAGCUUCCUCACAGCGUGGUGGCUUCCAGGCAGUCAGACUUCUUCCUUGAUGGCUCAGGCCUCCAAAAGCAGAUGCCUCAGUGAAUAAAGAGGACACGCCUGCCUUUUCUGACCCAGCCUCAGAAGUCAUGCAGCCUCACUGUGCUGCAUUCUGCUGACUACAAGUGAGUUACAACCCUGCCCAGGUUCAAGGGCGUGGGGGACAUAGACCUCCCCUCCCGAUGGGGAGGAGUGUCAAGGUCAGAUCACAGAAGAGCACUUGGAUGGAAGAUAUUGUUGGAACAAUCUGACUAGAUAAAGGGUUAUUAGUCAGGGCAAGAGGAGUAUGCUGGUUAUCUGUCGCUGUGUGACAAAUCAGCCCUACACAGUGGCUGAAAACAACGGUUCUUUUCUUCUGAUCAUCCCU